AGCCGGGAAGGAGGGGAGCGGAGGCCCGACAUGGGCAGGCCGGUGAAGAGAGCCGGGAUCCCUGGGUGGACCUGUCUUCAGCUUCCCUGUGAGCCGGGCUGCUAGCCUGCAGGACGCCCCGACUUGCCCACACCCCAACACUGGACAAAGCAGAAAUCCGGGGAACCCGAUGCCGAGCCUGGUGGCCCAUCUACAGCACAGUCUUCUGGGGCUCCAUCCUGCCACAAGGAAGCUGGAGUUCGGGGUCCCAGCAUGGAACUGCAGAGGGCCUGGCAGGCGGAGCCCGUGGAGAGACUUCACUAUUGGCUCGCUCCACUUUUUACAGUCUUUCAUUCCUCGCAAAGUUCUCAGAAGUGCCCCUCCGAUAGAGGAAAGUUAGAGGAAGGAGUCUGGUCGUCCUGGAUGCAAGAAUAAGGUUAGAGAGGUUGAGUUAAUGUUUGAGGCAUCAUUCCUUACAUGCUCCAGAGCACAGAUUCUUAACUUGCAAUCUGAGGACUUUUCAACGACAAGACAGCUACAAGGACCUAACACGGGUUUUACUGAGGAAGAAAAUUACUCUAUACAUCAGUUUUCCAGGAGUACUAAAAGAGAACAUAAAGUAUGGCCUACUACCUUCCUUUCUGUAUGAUCUGGGCAAACCGACCGGUGGUGGCAAGAGUAGUGUCAAUGAAGUGAUCCACACAGCAAGAGAGGCAGUUUCAGUGCGGGAGUCUAGCUGAUUUCCUGGCUUCUCCAUGCACUUAUCUCAACAUAGUUCCACGAAGUGAUGCACCUGCGCAGUGAACCCUGCCUUCUGCUGCUCGACAGCCACCAGGCUUUGUAACUCAGUUUCACCAAGCUCUGCCAUUGUCAGCGUCAAGAGCUUCGCUGUGGUACGCAUGCGUGGUCCUGAAAGCAACUUUUGCACUUUAUCAUCAACUCUAAGAUACUCAGGGGCUUCUAUCAAUGAUGAGACACAUCUGCAGAAACCCAUACUCCUUCCAUAGGAUCACACGAUCCUUGUCCAAGGGCGAACACACAGAACAUUGUUCAAACCAUACCAAUCCUGACCGGAGAGAACAGAGACAAACUGACUCACAGGAGAGAGGACCUAAGUACUUUAAUACAUUUUUUGAAAUUAUUAUAAAUUAUUUUACAAUAUCCAGAGCAAAUGAAACUAAUUUAAAAUAUUUUGUAAUACACAAGUCCCCAGAAAUACUUUGUGAAGUUAAAAAUAAAAUUUAAAAAAAUGGUCUUGCCAAAUUUCACUACAAAUCAUGAAUGCUAUUUCAAAAAUAAGAAAACAACAACAGCAGCAGCAAAAACAACAACUAAAACAAAAACAACAAAGAAAUAGAAGAUAUGAGGAUGUUUUCAAAAUUAAACCUUUAGAGAUAAUUGUCUUGGCACAGCUGCAGUUCCAGUUCUGAAGGCUAAUGCAGGAGUUUGAUGAAUUUCAGGGCAACUACGGCUGUGAUGACAGUAUACAAAGAUGAAACACAAUAAAAAUACACAUGAAUGAAACUAAGGCUCUAUAAUACUAAUAUUAGAAGAUAAACACAAAAUUUAUCUUUCCAUUCUUCUUUCUGUGGUGAUAAGAUGGGAAGUGAGCAGUGAUUUUAAUUAUGUUUACUUUUUAUUUGUUUAUUUUAUUUAUUUACAUUUCAAAUGUUAUUCCCCUUCCAAGUUUCCCCUCUGCAACCCACCUGUCCCAUUCCCUGUCCCCCUGCUCUAAGAGGGUGCUUCCUCACCCAUCCACUCCCUCCUCACCCCUCUCAUAUCCUCCCACCCCCCCCAUGCUUGGGCAUCUAUCCUCCACAGAACCAAGCCCCACCCACCCACCAAUUGAUGACCAACAAGGCCAUCCUCUGCUACAUCUGCAGCUGGAGCCUGGGUCCCUCCAUGUGUAUUCUUUGGUUGGUGGUUUAGUCUCAGGGAGAUCUUGUGGUGGGGGGAUCUGGUUGGUUAAUAGUUGUUCUUCCUAUGGGGUUGCAAACCCCUUCAGCUUCUUCAGUCCUUCCUCUAUCUCCUCCAUUGGAGUCCCAUGCCCAGUCAGAUAGUUGGCUGCAAGAAUCCACAUUUUGUUAUUCAAGUAUUCCUUAACUAUGGCAUUGACAAAGAAACCCAGAGAAGUUCACACAAUGCCAUUUUCCUAAUGGUCAAAAUCAAUUAAAACU
ensembl:antisense 4921504A21Rik RIKEN cDNA 4921504A21 gene